rnacentral:rRNA from 1 species
UGAGCUCAGAAAGAGAACAAAAGAAAAACGAAAUGCGAAAGCAUUCGUGGAGAUCAAGAAACAAAGAGCACAGGGCGAAUGCCUUGGCACUGGGAGCCGAAGAAGGACGCGACAAGCUGCGAAAAGCCACGUUUAGGAGCACAUAUCCGACGAGACGUGGAUGUCCGAAUGGGGAAACCCGGCGGUUAGAAGAGCCGUCACCGUUAAGUGAAUCCAUAGCAUAACGGAGGGAACCCGGGGAACUGAAACAUCUUAGUACCCGGAGGAAAAGAAAGAAACAUCGAUUCCUUAAGUAGCGGCGAGCGAACGAGGAAAAGCCCAGAAUCCAACAAUCAUUUCCGUUUAGCAGAAGGGCAUGGGAAGGCCCCGCAAAGAGCGUAAGACGCGCGUAAGCGAAAAGCCGAAAUGAGGAGAUUCAACGAGUACCACGGGACACGUGAAACCCUGUGGGAAGAUGGGGGGCCCACCCCCCAAGGCUAAAUACUACCCAGUGACCGAUAGCGGAAAGUACCGUGAGGGAAAGGUGAAAAGAACCCCGGGAGGGGAGUGAAAUAGAAACUGAAACCCUGUGCUUACAAGCAGCUGGAGCGCAAGUGACAGUGUGCUUUUUGUAGAACGGGCCAACGAGUUACGGUAUGUAGCGAGGUUAAGCACUUCAGGUGCGGAGCCGAAGCGAAAGCGAGUCUUAAGAGGGCGACGAGUUGCAUGCUGUAGACCCGAAACCGUGUGAUCUAUCCAUGACCAGGGUGAAGCUUGGGUAAAACCAAGUGGAGGCCCGAACCAGUGUCUGUUGAAAAAGGCUUGGAUGAGUUGUGGAUAGGGGUGAAAUUCCAAUCGAACACGGAGAUAGCUGGUUCUCCCCGAAAUAGCUUUAGGGCUAGCGUUCUGUGAUGAAUGACGGAGGUAGAGCACUGAAUUGGGUAGGGGGCGUCAAGCUUACCGAACCAUAUCAAACUCCGAAUGCCGUCCAUUUUAACAGGGCAGUCAGACAGUGGGAGAUAAGUUUCAUUGUCAAAAGGGAAACAGCCCAGACCAUCCGCUAAGGUCCCCAAGUACUGAUUAAGUGGGAAAGGAUGUGUCACUGCACAAACAACCAGGAUGUUGGCUUAGAAGCAGCCAUACAUUUAAAGAGUGCGUAAUAGCUCACUGGUCGAGUGGUGGUGCGCCGAAAAUGAACGGGGCUAAAAUCAGGCACCGAAGCGAUGGAUUGUGCCGCAAGGUACAGUGGUAGGGGAGCAAUCUCUUAGGGGCGAAGCCGAAUCGUAAGGUUCAGUGGACUUAAGAGAAGAGAGAAUGUUGGCAUGAGUAGCGAAAGUGAAGUGAGAAUCUUCACCAUCGAAAGCCCAAGGUUUCCUGAGGAAGGCUCGUCCGCUCAGGGUUAGUCGGGGCCUAAGCCGAGGUCGAACGACGUAGGCGAUGGACAACUGGUUGAAAUUCCAGUACUACCUCAGCGCGUUUGAGAGAUGGAGUGACACAGAAGGAUAAGCGAACCCGGCCAUUGGAAGAGCCGGGGCAAGCAGUGAGACUGGAAAGAGAGGCAAAUCCCUUUUUCCCCAAGGUCAAGCUGUGAUGCGGAACGAAAAAUAAGUAGGGAAGUCGCCGAUUUCACGCUGUCAAGAAAAGCUUCUAUCGAGCAAAGAGGUACCCGUACCGUAAACCGACACAGGUAGGCGAGGAGAGAAUCCUAAGAUGAGCGGGAGAAGUGUUGUUAAGGAACUCGGCAAAAUGACUCCGUAACUUCGGGAGAAGGAGUGCCCCCACGGGGGCCGCAGAGAAGAGGCUCAAGCGACUGUUUAGCAAAAACACAGGUCUCUGCUAAAUCGAAAGAUGACGUAUAGGGGCUGACGCCUGCCCGGUGCUGGAAGGUUAAGGGGAGUGCUUAGCGUAAGCGAAGGUGCGAACUUAAGCCCCAGUAAACGGCGGCCGUAACUAUAACGGUCCUAAGGUAGCGAAAUUCCUUGUCAGGUAAGUUCUGACCCGCACGAAAGGCGUAACGAUUUGAGCGCUGUCUCGACAACACACCCGGUGAAAUUGUAGUACUCGUGAAGAUGCGAGUUACCCGCGACAGGACGGAAAGACCCCGUAGAGCUUUACUGUAGUCUGGCAUUGAGUUUUGAUAUAACAUGUACAGGAUAGGUGGGAGGCAGAGAAGCAUGCACGCCAGUGUGUGCCGAGCCAUUGUUGGGAUACCACUCUUGUUAUAUUGGAAUUCUAACGCGUUGCCGUCAACCGGCAAGCGGACAGUGUCAGAUGGGCAGUUUGACUGGGGCGGUCGCCUCCUAAAAAGUAUCGGAGGCGCCCAAAGUUACCCUCAGGAUGGUUGGAAACCAUCUGUAAGAGUGCAAAGGCAGAAGGGUGAUUGACUGCGAGAGAGACAUCUCGAGCAGAGACGAAAGUCGGGCUUAGUGAUCCGGUGGUUCCGAGUGGAAGGGCCAUCGCUCAACGGAUAAAAGCUACCUCGGGGAUAACAGGCUUAUCUCCCCCAAGAGUCCACAUCGACGGGGAGGUUUGGCACCUCGAUGUCGGCUCGUCUCAUCCUGGGGCUGAAGCAGGUCCCAAGGGUUGGGCUGUUCGCCCAUUAAAGAGGCACGCGAGCUGGGUUCAGAACGUCGUGAGACAGUUCGGUCCCUAUCCGUCGUGGGCGUAAGAUAUUUGAAAGGAGCUGUUCCUAGUACGAGAGGACCGGAAUGGACAAACCGCUGGUGCACCAGUUGUUCCGCCAGGAGCAUCGCUGGGUAGCUAAGUUUGGAAGGGAUAAGUGCUGAAGGCAUCUAAGCACGAAGCCCCCCUUAAGAUAAGAUAUCUCAUUCGAAAGAAGUAAGGCCUCUGGAAGACGACCAGGUAGAUAGGCUGGAGGUGGAAGUGCAGCAAUGUAUGGAGCUGACCAGUACUAAUCGGCCGAGGUCUUGAUCCCAUCAAGACA